GCCCGAGGACCCCUAAACUCUGUUUUUAGUGGAACUUCUGAGUAAAACAAACAAAUAAAUCAAAACUUUCAACAACGGAUCUCUUGGUUCUGGCAUCGAUGAAGAACGCAGCAAAAUGCGAUAAGUAAUGUGAAUUGCAGAAUUCAGUGAAUCAUCGAAUCUUUGAACGCACAUUGCGCCCGCCAGUAUUCUGGCGGGCAUGCCUGUUCGAGCGUCAUUUCAACCCUCAAGCUCAGCUUGGUGUUGGGACUCGCGGUAACCCGCGUUCCCCAAAUCGAUUGGCGGUCACGUCGAGCUUCCAUAGCGUAGUAAUCAUACACCUCGUUACUGGUAAUCGUCGCGGCCACGCCGUAAAACCCCAACUUCUGAAUGUUGACCUCGGAUCAGGUAGGAAUACCCGCUGAACUUAAGCAUAUCAAUAAGCGGAGG
rnacentral:rRNA from 1 species